rnacentral:lncRNA from 13 species
AUGCAACUGUUUUUAGUCUGCUGUAAUAAAGGCUAUAUCAUUUUUGUUAGAUACGACUCUGGUACAACACUUAGUGUUGUUUACACUGUUCCAAAUGGUCAGAUUUUUUUUUGUAAUGUUAAUGCAACUGUUUGGCACACAAUACUCACACAAGGCGUACUCCUAUACAGCUUUAGCAGGGACAGUGCAAUAAACACUUGCUGUGGUGCCCUUUUCUGCAGUAGGGAGGUGGGCGAGACAACAUGCACCAGUCACACCCCGUCAUUUUUUUAAAACACUGUUUAAUGACCGAGUCAUUUGUGUGGCUUAAUUAUUUAAUCAAACAGUGUGCUUAAAGCGUCAGACAAGCUCAGUGCAUAUGUAGUUGGUUUUAUUCAAACACAUAGGGUGUGUAUGUCAAUUAUGGAUAAAGAGGUUUAAACAUUGACCAAUCGUUUGGUCGAAAGAACAGGACGAUUCUCGUUUGACCAAUAUAUUUUUAUGGGGACAGCCCUAGUAGCAUCCACAUUAAUAUAAGUUUAGAAACAUCAAUCAAAUGAAUCAAUAAAAUGUAUUUAUAAAGCCCUUCUUACAUCAGCUGAUGUCACAAAGUGAUGUACAGAAACCAAGCCUAAAACCCCAACCAGCAAGCAAUGCAGGUGUAGAGGCAAGGUGGCUAGGAAAAACUCCCUAGAAGGGAGGCUAUGAGGGGUGGCCAGUCCUCUUCUGGCUGUGCUGGGUAGAGAUUAUAACAGAACAUGGCCAAGAGACAUGUAUUCUUAUUUACAAAAAAAGUGACUACAAAAUUACAAACCAUUAAUUUGUAUUGGGCACAAAAUAAUGUGAAACAACCAAAACAAACAGCAAACGUAUCAAACAAAUUUAUAGAGUCACAACCCUGAUUUAGUCACUGCAUGCUAUGAAUAUGGGACCAAAUAAUUAACUUUUUACUACUUUAAUACACAUACAGGGCCUUCAGAAGGUAUUUAUACUCCUAGACUUAUUCCACAUUUUGUUAUGUUCCAGCCUGAAUUCAACAUCGAAUAAACACAAAAUGAAAACAUGUUUAGAAAUGUUUGCAAAUGUAUUCAAUUAUAUACAGUAAUCUCUCAUUUAUAUAAAUAUUCACACCCGAGUCAAUACUUUGUAUAAGCGCCUUUGGCAGUGGUUACAACUGUGAGUCUAUCUGGGUAAGUCUAAAACCUUUCCACACUUCGAUUGUGCAACAUUUGCCCAUCAUUGUUUUCCAAAUUCUUCAAGCUCUGUCAAAUUGGUUGUUGAUCAUUGCUAAACCAUUUUCACGUCUUGCCCUAGAUUUUAAAGUAGAUUUAAGUCAACUCUGUAACUCGGCCACUGAGGAACAUUCAAUGUCAUCUUGGUAACCAACUUCAGUGUAGAUUAGGCCUUGUGUUUUAGGUUAUUGUCCAGCUAAAGAUGAAUUCAUCUCCCAGUGGUCUGGUGGAAAGCAGAUUGAACCAGGUUUUCCCUGUGCUUAGCACCAUUUUGUUUCUUGAUACUGAAAAACUUACCCGUCCUUAACUAUUACAAGCAUUCCCAUUACAUGAUGCAGCCACCACCAUGGUUGAAAAUAUGGAGAGGUACUCAGUAAUGUGUUGUGUUAGGAUAAAUUCAAUACUUUUAAUUCAGGGCAAAGUUUAUUGCUUUGCAACCUUUUUUGCAGUUUUACUUUAGUGCCUUAUUGCAAACAGGAUGUAUGUUUUGAAAUAUUUUUAUUCUAUACAGGCUUCCUUAUUUUCACUCUGUCAAUUAGGUUAGUAUUGUGGAGUAACUGAUCCAUCUUCAGUUCUAUCACAGCCAUUCAUUUGUAAAAAAUAUCUAAAAACAUAAUUCCACUUUGACAUUAGGGGGUAUUGUCUGUAGGUCUGUGACAAAACAAUCUAAAUGGAAUCCAUUUUAAAUUCAGGCUGUAACACAACAAAAUGUGGAAUAGGUCAAGGGGUGUGAAUAUUUUCUGAAGGUACAGUAAAAGUGAAUGUCCCAAUACUUUUGGUCCCCUAAAAUGGGAAAAUACACUCAAAUUAAAGCUGACAUUCUGCACUUUAACCUCGGUCACUGUAUAAUUUCAAAUCCAAAGUGCUGGAGUAGAGCCAAAAUAAAAUUGAGACUGACGCAAUACUUUGAGCAGUCACUUCUGUCAAAAAAUGCCCAAGCAAGUAACAAAUCUUUCAGAAAACAAUGACCAUGUCCCAAAUGGAAACCUAUUCCUUAUGUAGUGCACAACUUUUGACCAGAACCCUCAAAAGUAGUGCACUGCACAAGGAAUAGGUUGCCAUUAGGGACUACAUUUUUUCAAAAGAACACAAAAUGUCACUUUACUAUAAGUGUAAGCUUGUGUAUAAAAAAAAAAUCUAUAAAAAAAAAAGGGCCCCUCCACACACACACCCGGUCAAAAGUUUUAGAACACCUACUCAUUCAAGGGUUUUUCUUUAUUUUUACAUUGUAGAAUAAUAGUAAAGACAUCAAAACUAUGAAAUAACACAUAUGGAAUCAUGUAGUGAACAAAUAAAAUGUUAAAGAAAUCUAAAUAUAUUUUAUAUGAGAUUCUGCAACGUAGCCACCCUUUGCCUUGAUAACAGCUUUGCAAACUCUUGGCAUUCUCUAAACCAGCUUUGAGGUAAUUUCAAUUAACAUGUGUGCCUUAAAAGUUCAUUUGCGGAAUUUCUUUCCUUCUUACUGCAUUUGAACCAAUCAGUUGUGUUGUGACAAGGUAGGGGAGGUAUACAGAAGAUAGCCCUAUUUGGGAAAAGACCAAGUCCAUAUUAUGGCAAGAACAGCUCAAAUAAGCAAAGAGAAACGACAGUCCAUUACUUUAAGACAUGAAGGUCAGUCAAUGCAGAAAAUUAAAAUUUCUUAAAGUGCAGUCACAAAAACCAUCAAGAGCUACAAUGAAACUGGCUCUCAUGAGGACCGUCACAGGAAUGGAAGACCGAGUCACCGCUGCUGCAGAGGAUAAGUUCAUAAGUUACAAGCCUCAGAAAUUGCAGCCCAAAUAAAUUCUUGACAGAGUUCAAGUAACAGUAACAUCUCAACAUCAACUGUUCAGAGGAGACAGUGAAUCGGGCCUUCAUGGUCAAAUUUCUGAAUAGAAACCACUAUUAAAAGGACACAAAUAAGAAGAGACUUGCUUGGGCCAAGAAACACGAGCAAUGGACAUUAGACAGGUGGAAAUCUGUCCUUAGGUCUGAUGAAUCCAAAUGUGAGAUUUUUGGUUCCAACCGCCAUGUCUUUGUGAGACACAAAGUAGGUGAACGGAAGAGCUUCAUGUGUGGUUCCCACUGCGAAGCAUGGAGGUGGUGGUCUGAUGGCGUGGGGGUGCUUUGCUGGUGACACUGUCAGUGAUUUAUUUAGAAUUCAAGGCACACUUAACCAGCAUGGCUACCACAGCAUUCUGCAGCGAUAUGCCAUCCCAUUUAGUUUGCGCUUAGUGGGACUAUAAUUUGUUUUUCAACAGGACAAUGACCCAACACACCUCCUGGCUGUGUAUGGGCUAUUUGACCAAGAUGGAGAGUGAUGGAGUGCUGCAUCAGAUGACCUGGCCUCCACAAUCACCCAAACUCAACCAAAUUGUGAUGGUUUGGGAUGAGUUGGACCGCAGAGUGAAGGAAAAGCAGCCAACAAGUGCUCAGCAUUUGUGGGAACUCCAAGACUGUUGGAAAAGCAUUCCAGGUGAAGCUGGUUGAGAGAAUACCAAGAGUGUGCAAAGCUGUCACCAAGGCAAAGGGUGGCUAUUUGAAGAAUCUCAAACAUAAAAUCCUUUAAGAUUUGUUUAACACUUUUUUGGUUAAUGCAUAUCCAUAUGUGUUAUUUCCUAGUUGAUGUCUUCACUAUUAUUCUACAAUGUAGAAAAUAGUAAAAAUAUAGAAAGAAUGUUGAUUGAGUAGGUGUUCUAAAACUUGAGUGAGUGAGUGUUUGUUUUAAAUGAAGCAAAACAUUAC